UGUUCCCUUUACCACGUUUUACUG
rnacentral:misc_RNA from 1 species